GUGGAAUUAGCUCAGUUGGUUAGAGCAUUGGUUUGUGGUGCCGAGGGUCACGGGUUCGAGCCCCGUAUUCCACCCCA
rnacentral:tRNA from 1 species